UAUUUCCAGGAAUAAUCCGCCCCAACAUCUUCAGUGUUGUGCUCUUGCUAAGCUAUGGAAAU
rnacentral:tRNA from 1 species